rnacentral:rRNA from 1 species
GGAAUCUUCCGCAAUGGGCGAAAGCCUGACGGAGCGACGCCGCGUGAGCGAAGAAGGCCUUCGGGUCGUAAAGCUCUGUUGUGAGGGACGAAGGAGCGCCGUUCGAAGAGGGCGGCGCGGUGACGGUACCUCACGAGAAAGCCCCGGCUAACUACGUGCCAGCAGCCGCGGUAAUACGUAGGGGGCGAGCGUUGUCCGGAAUUAUUGGGCGUAAAGCGCGCGCAGGCGGCCCCUUAAGUCUGAUGUGAAAGCCCACGGCUCAACCGUGGAGGGUCAUUGGAAACUGGGGGACUUGA